rnacentral:sRNA from 7 species
UAUUCAUCCCAUGCGGGAAGGAUGAGAAGCUUCGACUAAGGUUCGAUUCGAGCGAAGCGAGAAAGCGUUGCCGCAGGCAACGACCCGAAGGGCGAGGCGCAACGCGCCGAGUAAUCCUUCCCCCACCACCA